AGUUUCAGUUUUAUAAUAUCAUAGAAAUUUGAAUUUGAAUUGCGAGAUGUUGAUCAUUAUUUAAUUUUAAACGCCACGCUAAUUAUAUUUUUUCCGCGCUCCGAACAAGUACUUAAAUUUGGCAAUAAAUUCAAAUUCAAAAGUAUCACUCAAGAGAAACGCCAACAGAACAAAUGAAAGCUUGGAGUUUUAUAAACAACUUCACCACAUGGUACAAGAUCUUCCAAAGAACAAAAUGCUGAUACUACUAGGUGACCUGAACAUGUGGAUAGGAAACAACAUUUGGUUUUGCAUCUGAGCCCGACAUUGUAGGAGAACCAUUUUUGCAUCAGACUGACUGAUUUUUGCUUGUUUUACUUAAUUUGCACCUGAUGCCGACAUCGUAGGAGAACCAUUCUUGCAUCAGAUGGUGUUUUGCACCUGAGGCCGACAUCGUAGGAGAACCAUUUUUGCAUCAGAUUGUGAUUUGCACCUGACGCCGACAUUGUGGGAGAACCAUUCUUACAUCAGAUUGUGUUUUGCACCUGAGGCCGACAUCGUAGGAGAACCAUUUUUGCAUUAGAUUGUGUUUUGCACCUGAGGUCGAUAUCGUAGGAGAACCAAUCUUGCAUCAGAUUUUUCUGGCAAUGUCGUUCUAGUUCCUGCUCGCGAAAUUAGAUGGCACUAGGAGUUGUUCAUACAACUCUGUAAAUUAGUCGAGGGUGCCGCUGCUAGAUGGCGGUAGAGGUGUGUUACAUUAUCCUGUAAAUUACUUUGGGUGGUCGAUACUAGAUGGCAGAAGUAUCGGAUUUUUCUGGAUAGCAAUCAAAAUCAAUAUUUUCCACUUAGUCUGUCCUGCGCUGUUAUGGGCGCUCGUGUGUUUUUGUCUUUACAUUUGCUCUCGGCUGCAACUUGCAUUUUGUCGGAUUUUAAAUUCCGCGUUAUUUAGUUCUACUGUCGAAAAGCAAACGAUUUAGUUAGUGGCUUUAUCAAGUGCCCUCGUGUGUGCUGACGUUUGACGGUCGUCAGAUCAUUUUCUGUGGCUUCGAUUUCUAGGAAUUGGAUUCAUUAAUCAAAAUUGUUCAAGUAUUAAUUCGUGAAAAUAAACCAUUUGUGUUCCGCCUGUGGAAAAAUUGUUAGUUCAAAAAUAUUAAAGUGAGUAAUUUCUAACAAUUUGCCGAAAGGUCUUUGUGCACUUUAGUACUUUAUGGAUGAAUGAACAAAAUAGUUGACUUAAUUUUAUGUAUAAAGUAAAUUUUAUUUCUGUCUAACUUUUUAAUUUUUGCAGUUGCAAUUGCAUUGCUAUAAUAAUAAAUGUAUAUGAUUCCGCCAAUAAAGGAUAAUUUUAAAUUAUAUUCGCUGGUUCAGUUCGAGUUUUAGUUAAUUUAGCGAAUUAAAAAUGAAUUAAAGUCACGAAUCACAGCGCAUCUGAUUUGUGUUUGUUUUUAGAUGUCAAGGAGUUGAACGUGACCUCGGUGUACAAUUGUGCGCGCAUUCAAUUGUGAGUAUCGAAAUUCUUAUCAUUUUCAUAUCUGCUUUGUUCACGUAGCCAGCUAUAUCUUUUCCUUGUUUAGUCGAUCGUGCGAUGUUGUUCGGUACUCACGUGUUUUGUUCACAAGUCGAUCUUCGUAACUAGUUUGCGCGUUUCUUGUGAUUUUAAGUCGGUAGUUGAAUUAGAAUCGAUCAGCAAAGAUAAUAUUUAGAAUUAACGGACUAGUACGGCGUGCAGUUAAUGAAUUAUCGCGCGUGGAAGUCAGAAUUGUGAAGUUUUACAAUGUGCGCACGUUUUUGCCGUCGGCCGUCGGAUAUCUUACGUCGGCUAAGAAGUCCGUCUCAGUAGUUUUAUUUACGUAAUGAUAUUAAUUUUGUGAAACUAAAUACUGUUUGUCCCCGCGUGGAACAUUUUAAUCGAGAAAGUGCACGUAGGUAACUGCAACAUUAACAUUCGACAAAUGAAUUAAUUAGUGAAGGUGUCAUGGACGAAAUGAAUUUAUCAGACAUUAAGGAAAAGCAAGGUAACCGUUGAAUAAGUAAAUACUCUGAAAAUAAUUCAAUUUUAACAAAUAAUUUUAAUAUUCAACAUGUACUCUAUUGAUUGUACGAGUUGCAAUAAACAAUUCUUUUAAUAUUA